CUUGCUACACCAUAGACUGUGAGUUGCGAACGGGUGAGUAACGCGUAGGUAACCUGCCUAUUAGAGGGGGAUAACUAUUGGAAACGAUAGCUAAUACCGCAUAACAGUAUGUAACACAUGUUAGAUGCUUGAAAGAUGCAAUUGCAUCGCUAGUAGAUGGACCUGCGUUGUAUUAGCUAGUAGGUAGGGUAAAGGCCUACCUAGGCAACGAUACAUAGCCGACCUGAGAGGGUGAUCGGCCACACUGGGACUGAGACACGGCCCAGACUCCUACGGGAGGCAGCAGUAGGGAAUCUUCGGCAAUGGGGGGAACCCUGACCGAGCAACGCCGCGUGAGUGAAGAAGGUUUUCGGAUCGUAAAGCUCUGUUGUUAAGGAAGAACGAGUGUGAGAAUGGAAAGUUCGUACUGUGACGGUACUUAACCAGAAAGGGACGGCUAACUACGUGCCAGCAGCCGCGGUAGUACGUAGGUCCCGAGCGUUGUCCGGAUUUAUUGGGCGUAAAGCGAGCGCAGGCGGUUAGAAAAGUCUGAAGUGAAAGGCAGUGGCUCAACCAUUGUAGGCUUUGGAAACUGUUUAACUUGAGUGCAGAAGGGGAGAGUGGAAUUCCAUGUGUAGCGGUGAAAUGCGUAGAUAUAUGGAGGAACACCGGUGGCGAAAGCGGCUCUCUGGUCUGUAACUGACGCUGAGGCUCGAAAGCGUGGGGAGCGAACAGGAUUAGAUACCCUGGUAGUCCACGCCGUAAACGAUGAGUGCUAGGUGUUAGGUCCUUUCCGGGACUUA
rnacentral:rRNA from 1 species